rnacentral:lncRNA from 1 species
CAGAUUUCAUUUUGGCAUGUCAAUACCUUGAGAUGAAUUUAGAGAAGAAAGCAAGAAUUUCAAUUCCGACCAUUGUUGUAUUUCAAUGCUCCUUAGUGGUCUUCUAGGGUGUAUAUCCCAAUCAUGAAGCUGUUGAUUCCACAUAUCUUUCACAUUUUCAUUUUGGAGAUUUGAGAGGGCGAAGAGACGAUGUUUGUAUAGAGAGAGCGGAGAUUUUUCAUUCCAAGAGUCAUUCCAGAAGGAAAUUUUAUCUCCAUUGUUGAGUUGCCAUUUGACAUUUGCCGAGAACCAGCCAAUCCCUUUGAUAAUGGAUCUCCAAGGCGCCUUUAAGCUGCUGUAUUUUUCUUUUGUAGGAAAUCCACUAAUAUUGUCCUUUGUGUAUUUGGCAGAGAUCAGGUUUUUCCAUAGAGGUUGAUUUUCGGAGAUGAAACGCCAAAGUCAUUUGCUUAGCAAAGCAAAAUUUGUGUCAGCGAUUUUGUUGAUACCCAAACCCCUUUUGUCUUUUGGAGCGGUAACUUUUGCCCAUUUUAAGAGGUGAGAAUUGUUGUCUUCUUUGGGAUUCUUCUUCCUCCAGAUUUUCUCAAUAUUUUUACAUACACCAAUAGGAGCCUUAAAAAUAUAUAACUGAUAUGUGGGAAGACUUUCGAGGGUUGCAUUGAUGAGGGUCAAUUUGCCACCUUUGGAGAUGUAAGAGUAUUUCCAGUUGCUGAGCUUUUUGUUGAUUUUUUCAGUGAUAUUAUCCCAGAAAUUUUUGGAUGUGGGCUUGCCUCCCAAAGGAACACCCAAGUAAUUUAUAGGCAUGUGUUGUACUUGGAUACCCCAGCUGAUAGCAACACUUUCGACUCUGGUUGAAUCAAUAUUGAUGGGAGAGAGUGGAUUUAUUUAGAUUGAUGUUGAGACCUGUAGCAGCUUCAAAGACGUGUAGGACAUAUUUGAGAUUUGUUAGAUAUUCGUCAUUGUCUUCUACAAAGAGUAAUAUGUCAUCUGCAAAAAGUAAGUGUGAUGUCCUAAGAGAUGUCAUCACAUUAUGGACCAAAGAGAUGAAAACAACAUCAACCCAAACACGUUCAAAAAUUUAUGGAAGACUGGAAUUCCAAAGAAAUGUAAGUUUUCUUAUGGACAAUCUUGCAUAACUUAUAUGAUCAAUACUGCUGAGAAGCCCCAAAGAAGACUACCAAAUU